rnacentral:rRNA from 1 species
AACGAACGCUGGCGGCGUGGAUAAGACAUGCAAGUCGAACGCUAAUACAAAGGUAGCAAUAUCGUUGUGUUGGAGUGGCGAAAGGGUGAUUAACACGUGGGCAAGUUACCGCGAGAUCUAGGAUAACCUGCUGAAAGGCAGGCUAAUACUGGAUAACACCUUGGAUCGGCAUCGAUUCAAGUUUAAAGUUGGGGCUCCGCAAGGACCUGACGACUCGCGAUACGCCCGCGUCCUAUCAGCUAGUUGGCGGGUAAAAGCCCACCAAGGCUAAGACGGGUAGCUGGUCUAAGAGGACGACCAGCCACACUGGAACUGAGACACGGUCCAGACACCUACGGGUGGCAGCAGUCGAGAAUUUUUCACAAUGGGCGAAAGCCUGAUGGAGCGACGCCGCGUGGGGGGAUGAAUGGCUUCGGCCCGUAAACCCCUGUCAUUUGCGACUAAACUCUGCAAUUGAACAGAUUGCAGACUGAAAGUAGCGAAAGAGGAAGGGACGGCUAAACU